rfam:Epulopiscium sp. AS2M-Bin002 AS2M_MBin02_288, whole genome shotgun sequence.
GGUGGGAUUCCCGAGUGGCCAAAGGGGGCAGACUGUAACUCUGUUGGUUUUCCUUCGAAGGUUCGAAUCCUUCUCCCACCA